AAUAAUUUUUUUCAACUAAUUGUUUUGACUUUUUUUGUUAACUGUAUUUGGAUUCAUUACAGUGUAUUUAAAUAUACUUUAAAUACUAUUUUAAUUAUAAUAAAAUGAUAACAAUUCAAACUACGGGAAUUAUGAUGUCGACCAUAUCCAGUUAUGGGCGAAAAAACGAAAAAAAGUGUGAUCACAGAACAAGCAAAUGAAAGUACAAUAGAUCAAACCUCACAAAUGAGUUUUCAAGUGUUAAAGAACCGUGCAACAAGCCCAAAGUGGAAGUCGAAGAAAUAGAUGUAGUAAAUGGUUGUCGCUUCGAAACUGUUGUGGAAAUUGAAAAAAUUUUGCUUUUGGAUGAGAUAACGGCAAAGGAUGAUUCCUACUCAAAACAGUGGUUUGUUUGCAACGAGUGUCACAAAAUAUUUACAUCCAAAAGGCUUAUGGAACACCACAAAACAGAAUCACAUGACGUGAACACCGCAACCAGAAAAAUUUGUCGAAAAACAUUUG